rnacentral:rRNA from 1 species
AGUAACGGCGAGUGAAGCGGUAAUAGCUCAAAUUUGAAAUCUGGCCUCUCGGGGUCCGAGUUGUAAUUUGUAGAGGAUGUUUUGGGUACCGCCCCGGUCUAAAUUUCUUGGAACAGAAUGUCAAAGAGGGUGAGAAUCCCGUCUUGGGACCGGCGGUAGGGCCUGUGUAAAACUCCUUCGACGAGUCGAGUUGUUUGGGAU